UCUGUCUCUGUCCCGCCUGGGAGCGCUCUGCUGCAGGUGCAGCACAUACGUUUGCAGCAUUUAGCCUCUCCUUGACUGUCACACUCAUGGCUGGUGGGUCAGGGAACACUGCAGGUGAAAAGGCAGAUCAGCCUUUAUUCGUUAUUGACCUUUUGUUUAUAUGUGUUCUGUCAUGUGCAAUAAAAGCUUCUAUUUGUAUAAUAUCCAAGUUUACUAUCCUGUAGGACAUUGACAAUUGUUAACUUCAAAUUGCGAAUUUCAAACCUACAGCUUUUGACUUGUAAAAGGGAUUUAGUCCGCAUUUCACACCGCAUUUCUCGUGUGCACAGAUGGCUUCAAUCUCACCUUGAGAUUUUCAUCACGCAAUGCUGGCAUUUGAAAGGAAGCCAGAUCGAUUUGCCAGGUGUUUUUUGUUUCUCCAAAUGCUUACUUUGUGGAACUUCAGUGCUUUUUUUCACCCCUUGUACCCAGAAGGGCAAAUAAAAUGAAGACAAGUUGUAACUGUUUGUCCUAAGAAAGGAGUGAUGUAUGUGAUGUUUGAAUCAGUCAAGCUUUAUUGUUGAGAGUUUAAAAUGAAGAGAGGCUUUAACGAACAAUUUAUGUUGUAUGAAAUCCAGGAUUUUUAAAAUCAAGUUUGUAUAACAUGAAUUGGGCGGGGGGGCAUUUUAGCAUAAUUAUAGAGAUGGAAUUCUUAAUUAAAUACAUAUUAUGAAAGAAUAUAAAAGGGAAAUAUUAUGGACCAAAGGUCUGGAAAUGUUGAGGCUUCUUUUAACCUUGACAUGGCAGAGUUUUGUCCUUUGCUGCAACUGUGUGGAUGAACGUCUGACUCCCAGGAAGCCAUGGAGCUGCUGGGCUCAACUGGUCAUUAAGUGCAGGUGAUGUCUGUUGUCUCUGAGUCCUUUUCAUAAAAGAGCAUGACAAACAGCUCCCGGCAUUUUGUCUGAGACCAGAUCUGAUGCUGUUCAACCAACGUUUAAAAAGCUGUGAAGGCUUUUUUUCUUCACUUUGAGAUUACAGCUCAACUCAAUUGUUUUGUUUUUCCUUACUGUUCUGCCAUCCUGGAACUGGAAAAUUAACUUGUGGAAUUAAUAUAGGAAAACGCCAACCUGAAACUCCAAUAGUCCUGCCCAUUCUUUAGGUUUAAAUGGAAAUAGCCUGCCAUAAUAUACAUGUGUCAUAUAUAUUAAACACAUCCACAUUUCCCUAAGGGUAUUAGGGCUAUUAUGCAUUGACAUUAUAGGAGGGUGUGCAAGCAGGUUUAUGUUGUUGGCUUGUAGUGCUUCACAGGGAAAGAGAAGCUAGUAUUGAAAUCCCUAACUGACUUAUGGCAGUCAUGUUAGAUUCCUUAAUUAGCCAACAAGCAAGCAUCUGCUCUUGAAAGCAGAUGGAUAAACAGAGCAAAGAAAGGUAGUUGGGGGUGGAAGAGGGAAUGUGACCAUCUCUCCGCAUGGUUAGGCUUCUGUAACUCGUAACACAUUAUCCCACUACAGUAAAGAUGCUUUAGAAAAGUGAGCGUUUUACCUGGGGCCCCCAGUGCUCUCUUCAGCUCUCAUUCCUGUGCUGUCAGUCAGGUCAUGGAUGCCAUGAAGUCAAAUAUCUCUCAAGACUGAGUUCAUAGUAAUUCAGAUGUUGAAAUUAAAAAGCAGAGUCAUUUGACAAGGUGCCCAGUUUCAUUUUGUCUUUUUAUUUAAGAACUUAAGAUGAAUUUAUCCUCUAUGGAACUGAAGUCUAAUUUUUGUUGAGAUGAGGUUUAACAGCAGACACAAGGAACUAGUUUUUUAGCAGUAGAAACAUAAACCAAGCAUUUACAGAAACUGUUAAGCGAUUGUAAUUGCAAAUGAGGCUUUUAUUUUUCAGUGCAAAUUUUCAUGUGUGGCUAAAAAUAGACUACAACAAAACAAUGACUGGAUCCAUAGCACAAGAACACAAUGGGUAGUCAUUUCUGUUCUAUUUAAUUUCCCCUGUGUAUGAAAACAUUACGUCAUUUAAAUUAGUUCACUGAAAUAAGAUACAUUGUCACUACAUGGUUAAAAUUAAAGAAACUCAGUAUGAGAGAAUAAGGUUUACAUCUAUUGUAACUUUGGCGGUUUAAAACCGUGUGCUCUGGAUUGAUAGAAUAAAUCUAUUUAAAGUGUCUUUAGGCUGUCAUUUAUUUUUCUUCUGCUGGUUGAAAGCAGAGGGUGGAGAUUACUUUUUAAUUUGUGAAAUAGCAUUUAUAAAUAGCAAGCACUGCGAUUCGUAUCAGUUCUGACAUUAGCUUUUGUGCUGCAUUUUAAUUUCAGGAUUGAAUGCAUUAAAAGGUUAUAAUUCCAACAAAACCAGACAUUUAGGUGAAAAGAUUAGCUUUGCAUGAGAAAACUAAUUCUUUUGCACCUGAUUCAGAGGCCUAUGCAUCUGCUCUGGUAGUAUUCUCUUGUCCAGCAUGUUCAGCUACAGUAUAAAAUGUGCCAUUCUAUUACAGCAACAUUCAGAAAAGAAUUUUAUCUGCUGAAGUAACACAAAUAUCAAAUAAAUCUGCCAGAAAAGGUCGGUAUGAAACAUUACUGUGUUUUAAGGUAUUUUUUGUCAUUUCUGGUAAGACUGUAUUGACAUGCUUCAAGGAUAUUUAAAGAAUCAUUUAAUUUUGUGUAAUUUUUUUAAAGUUCUUUCUAAAUAAAAUAUUGCUCAAUACUCUUGCAAAACAAUGGUAAAUUUUGGAUUUAUCUCAUGUAAAAUAAUUCAGCAAUACUGCUGGGAGCCUUUUUAGAUGUUAUGGAAUAUACAUGGAGAAGCAAGUGCCAAUUUUCAAGAUCCAUAUUCUCAAGCUCCCUGUGGGUUUUAUGAUUCAAUUACUUAUAGUUAAAAUACAUCCAUCAUACACAGCUAUGAACACAAGCACACAAAAAGACGUUUAAUAUACAAAAUGGUACCAUAUUGAUGCUAAUAUAUACUGUAUAAUAAUUGUAAUAUUAUUUUAGUAUUAGGAUUGUUUUGGUCACCUUUUUUUACACCUUUCAAAACCCAGUUGCAUUUCUUUCCAGAUCUCCGAAUUAAGCUUGUGCCUGAACGUUGCUUUAACAAAAAGUGCAUUGCAAUCGAUCGAUCAGGACUUUCAGUGGUUAUUCAUCUCAUUCCUCAGGUUUCCAAGCAACUCUGUGAUGCUUCAUUUCUCCCCAGAACAUUUUUGCUAUCAAAGAAAAAUCACCAGUAACCUUGACAUGUGGGCACCCUCUGGGAUGCCUCUUGGUUGCCUGUUGUCGAAUAUUUUGCUGCACAGGUUAGUUUUCCUUAAUGUCUUGAUCCUGCUAAGCACACGCAGACAAGAGCUCCAGCAGGCAGCCAGGUAAGAUGGACAACUACUAAACAUGCCUAGAGAAUGAAUCACACACUUCCUUUGCUUUUUAAUUGGUGCUUUGCAGUGAGCUAAGGUAAUUUUUCACAGAGAAGGAAAAGUUUCCACUACUGUCUUCACAGUCUUGCACAUUGUUACUAAUUGCUUUGCCUGAGCUCUGCUGCAUUGAGAUGCCUUUUCUAACUUAAUUCAUCUCUCAGUCAGACCACUUGGCUGCCAAUAUUUUGAUCUCUCCAAACCAUCUCCAUUUUUCACAUAUGCUAUUGAAAAUGAGCAUAAGCAGAACAGCAGCCUUUCUUUAAUGCGAUAAUGAUCUGGGGUCAAUUUAUGUCAUGGGAAAUGCAACUCGACUACCCACGCACUCGUAAUGACAUUCUGAUAUACAUGAAUCUUAGUCAUAUACUUUCUAAUCAACAAAUACUGGUUCCUGUCAAUGUGAAGAGAAAGAGAUGAGAUUUCAGCAUUAUUCUGAAUUUUUCAAAUGGUAAGUGAUCAAUCAGACUUGAACUUUAAGGGUACUUUGUAGAUGUAGUUCAAGUAGGGAGCUGCAUCAGCAUGCGUGGGCUGCAAAGGAACAAGUUAAAGGUUUAAUCCACGCUGAACAGAGAAGAAAGGAAGCAACGUUGGGAGCCACCUUAAGAAGGAUCCACAUCCAAAACAUUGUUUUCUUCUCUUUUCAGCUUGGAAUAAACCUACUUGUUCCUUUGUUGAUGUAGUUUGAAACACUGAUGUUUAUUGGCUUUCAGACAGGGGCAGGGUUCUGUUCCUUGAUCCCCCUUCUCGACUCGGUUAUAUUGGCUAGAAACGUUUGUGGUCUGCUGGAAUAUUUGAUGGGUUCUCUGCCUAUUCUUUAGCCAACUUCCUGGCUCUGUAUGGAGGAGGGUAUUCCACUUGUUCUGUCUUUUAAGUUCACUUAAUUCAAUAAUCCAUUUUAACCUUUCUUGUUUUGACAACUGAAAAGGUUCACCAGAGGUGAAGGCAAUACUCGCUGCUUGUUUACACUGAUUUCAGAAAAAUCAUUUCAAUCUCACCGUGAGUGUAUCCUUUCAGAAUAAAACGGUUUAUAUGCUUACCUUUGAUAAAUUAUUUUCAUAUUGAAGUGUUUCAAAAAGGUGGAAUUUCAGUGCAGAAUUACAACAAUUCUAUGCUCUUUGCUAAAGGUUUAGUUGUAGUGGCAAUUUAAAAACCAUUUGACCUCGCUAUGAGUUUGUUGUAAAAGGACAUUUUUCCAUGUACUCUACCUUAAAAGCAAUGCAAAAUUAAAUGUUACUUCUGACUAAGUGGGAAAUCAAAAGAAAGUGGUUAUAAUUGAAAUCUGACAUCCCUAAAUUAAAUAAGCAUGUUUACCAAUAAAAACUAUUGAAAAGGACACUCCUCCUGACUACAUCUAAAGUUGAGUUGCCUCAAAAGACACUGCAACAUACAAUUGAAAAUACUAUCUGCUCUAAUAGGGAAAUAAAACAUUUCCAAUCACCACCUCGGAUAUGUUUGCAAAAUGCAAUUAGAUAAACCUGACUGAACAGAGGACACCUAAACUGAAUUAUUGUGCCCCAUACUGUCACAGUGAAAUUACCUUAUUUUAAUAUUCAACUUGAUGGAACUUCCUUUUGUAGCGCUUAAAAAAUUGCAAAAAAAGUGGACAUUUUUGCAAAGGCAAGAUAUAUCAGGAAGCCUUACAAGAUUUAGUUUCAAAACCAUUCUGAACUAAUGCAUUUCUAUUAGAAACAGUGAUACCCAAAAGAAGCACAAUAUACAGUAUGGAAAGACAAAAGAUUUGUUAAAUGAUGUAAGUGGAUUAAAGCACAUAAAGCCUCAUUAUUGGAGAAGUGGUACUAGAAUGGUAAAAUAGCAAAGAACUGUGAAAGAACAGAUCACCACUGGACCACAGAAUUAUUGAACUCGGAAACCGAAGGAAAAAAAUGUAAAAUUGCCACAAAAAAUCCGUAAGGUUGCAGAGACCAGACCGAAAAUGACAAAUAUAGGUGUGUGGGGUGGAGAGAUGAAGGGAGAAGAUUUCUGGGAUGCAUAACAAUGCCCUUAAAAAAGAAUGGUUUGCAUAGGAAUGUAUUGGGACAUGCAGAAAAAGAGAUCACAGCUGUCGCAAACA